UGGGGAAUUUUGGACAAUGGGCGCAAGCCUGAUCCAGCCAUGCCGCGUGCGGGAAGAAGGCCUUCGGGUUGUAAACCGCUUUUGUCAGGGAAGAAAUCUUCUGAGUUAAUACCUCGGGAGGAUGACGGUACCUGAAGAAUAAGCACCGGCUAACUACGUGCCAGCAGCCGCGGUAAUACGUAGGGUGCAAGCGUUAAUCGGAAUUACUGGGCGUAAAGCGUGCGCAGGCGGUUUUGUAAGACAGAGGUGAAAUCCCCGGGCUCAACCUGGGAACUGCCUUUGUGACUGCAAGGCUUGAGUGCGGCAGAGGGGGGAUGGAAUUCCGCGUGUAGCAGUGAAAUGCGUAGAUAUGCGGAGGAACACCGAUGGCGAAGGCAAUCCCGUGGGCGCACUGACGCUCAUGCACGAAAGCGUGGGGAGCAAAACCAGGAUUAGAUAGCCCUGGUAGUCACGCCCUAAACGAUGUCAACUGGUU
rnacentral:rRNA from 1 species